CCAGCCUCCCUAAAAAAACCCAGCCACCCCGAAUAGUCUCAGCCCACUCCCGUGUGUGCUGGAUAGGGUUCCCCGCCAUCCUCACCGAUCGCCGCCGCCGCCCUCACCGGUCGCUGCCGCCGCCCUCACCGGUCGCCGCCGCCGUCGGUUUCCCCUACAUGGCCGGAGGAUAGGCCAUCCCGCCGGUCCAUUCUCGCCCCACCGCGAGGGAGGAGACCGACCAGUUGCGCCUCCCCGCCGGUCGCCGCCAGCCACCCCAAGCUAUGACGUACCCCGCCGCCAGGAGGCCAGGAGGCCGCCAUGGAGGCCCGUCCCGAGCUCGCCUCGCUGCUCCUCCGGUGACCCUCGUUGCGCCUGGAUCCGGGCGGAUCCGACGAUUCCCCGACGCGCAGGCGGGCCGGCACACGGUGCUAGGCGAAGGAGCCUUCCCAUGGCGGAUGAAUCGACUGUAGUGUGCAGCAGAUAGGACAGAUGUAGUCGUCCAUGAGGCUGCUGGCGGAUGCUGUGUGGAGGAAGGACGGUCCCCAGAACAUAAUGCAGUAGUCGCCCACUUAGUACUCUGAUUGCUCGUGAAGGCAAGGUCUUGCGUGAAGGUCAUCCUCCUACAUCGCUGUGUCAGGCACUCUGAUUGCUCGUGUUGAUCGGAGUUAGAAAAGAGGAACCCAGAUUUUUGUCCGUGAACUGUAAGCAGCAACAAAAUCUUGCAAUUUCUAAUUUUCUUUUCUAGCCAUCUACGUGAUUCAGGUGCCUGGUUCCGUGCCCUCCUUUGCAUUUUUUUAAUUCAAUCAGCAGCGUUCUUAGAUUCUUCUAUCAUAUGUUUGUGUGCUAAUUCCAUGCCUUGCUCCAGUAACUAACAAGACUACUCUUAAUUUACCAAGAUGUCAUCUAGAAUGUAUCCAUCUGCUAAUGACUUGAUGGAGUCAUAGAAAUGAGCUAUUGACACUUUUUUAGAAUAGAUGCAACUGCUUGUAAUUCUGAAUAAUUAGCUUUAGUUACUGUUAAAAACAACCUGUGAAAAAUUUCUUGACUGGCCCUGCUCACGAGAGCCGAAAUCCCUGGGCCCCCGAAAUUUCUUGACUGGCCCUACUCACGAGAGCCAAAAUCCCUGGAGGCUGGAGUGGUAGAUGAUCUCAUGCGACAGUGGGUUGAAAGUGAGCUAGAUGCUCGUGCCGUCGGUUUCGAACGCGUGCUGCCGGUCGGCUCCUUGUGUCCUCCAGUGGCUUCCAUUGAGGUAGGCUUUGUGGAGGCAUGUGUAUGGGUUGUAGUCUAGUCGUGCGUCGGUUCUCACCAGGUUCAUCCUGUGGCAUUUCUUGGAGCAGAUGCAGUCGACAUGUAUGCUGGGAGCAUGCUAAUGGGGGCACCUAAAGUGUUCGACGGAAAGGCUAUCAUAUUGGUGCUUUACCAUCUCACCUCACCACCACGUGAGCAAAACCACCUACCAGAGCAUCGGGGUUGACUUGUCUGGUUUUAGAAAGUAGAGGGGAUUAAGAUCCCAGUUUUAGAGGUCAGGGCCUCAGGGGGCUAUGUGGCCAAAAUGUAAUACUUAUGGGGCCAUAUACACUUUUUUCUUAAAUCUAAUAGGUUUCUUCCUCAGUGAUAUCCCAAAUUAUCCCACCAAGAAAGAUGGCCGCGUCGUCCUGGCCUGCGCUCCCGGCCACCCAGCGGGAUGUCCAGGCUGUCGUUGCCAAGGACGUGGAGCUGCACUGGCCUCUAUUGGCGCACCGUGCCCAAUGUCAGUGCUGCCAAUAUUGCUUAUUUGAUCAACUUCGGGUCUGCAAUAGUUUAAUUAGCACUUUUUAGAGAUAUAGACUAAUCAAUACAGUAGCUUAAUAACUUGUAAUCACUAGGGCCAAUUAGCUGAUGGGAGACAGGGAGAACGAAGGUUGACGAGGCUUAGCCAGUCUGCUGACAGGAAAUACAAUAGUGAUUUCGCAAGAGAAAUGGAGGUGAUGGCUAGGCUCUGGCACGACAAUGUAAUCCACCUCCUUGCUUACUUCAGUGAAUGCGAUGAGCGGAUACUCAUCUAUAGCUAUAUGUCGAACAACAGCAUGGAUCUCUGCUUAUACUUCUAUAUUUUUUCUUGCCUAUGCUCAGAAUUUGGAUCACAAUAGUAAAUAGAUCAUUAGGUUCUCUUCUAUAAUUGUUGGUUGUUGUUGUUCUGUGCUCCAACACAUACGAGCAGCUCACUGUUGCACGGAGAUAAGUUUCAUGCACAUAAUUAAAGUUCCGGAUAACCGAAGUACAAAUCUGUAAAUACCUUUAGAGAAAGCUUGUAUGCUUGACAUGCUUGACCAUGUAAAAGCUCAUGCAUGAGUAAUUAUAUCGUCAGAUUAUUCUUUUUAUCUGCAAGGUGAGCUUCAAAAUUCUGUAAACUAGCAUUUCCAAUAGUUCAGAGCUGCCACUUUACUUUCAGUAUUUCGGUGGAUGAUCUCUGUUUAAAUUCCUAAUACAAGUAAUGCACUCCGGCAAGUUCUAUUUAUUUGUGUCCUUGCUGCCAAUAGAUGUAAUUUUAUCGCGAGCACCCAAGUACAGCAACACUAUUGUCGUUCAUUAUUGUUGGCUUAUGCCCUAGAGAGAAAAUAAUUAGCAUUUACCUCUGUGUACCGGACUGUAGUUGUACCAUAUGCCUAUUGUAUCAUUUUCAUCCUUGAUAGAUGCAGCGAGUAAAUUGUCACUGAAAAAUGUUGUGGUUGCAGCGUUUGUUUUGUUAAUUCUGCAUUCCUUCCUUUAUGAGAAAAAUGUUACUUCUGCGUUAGUUAUAUGUUAAGUUUCUCUAUGUACAAUUCUUGUAUUGACUUCAGAUUGUGCAUAUGUGGAGAAGCAUGUCUGCUCCCAGUGGAGAGGACUUUCAGAAAGACAACUUAGACACUUGCUUUAGCAUUCACGUUUACUAUUUUUGUAAAAAUAUUCAUACGUGUGUUUGAAUUGUUUUUAGUAGCUGUCUUUAUUACUCUCUAUGAUUGAAAAAAAAAAUCGGAGGCUGCCUACAGCAAGUCCGUUUGUCAUCAACGCCUUUCUUUGCUUGGUAGCUCCACAUCCAAUCUUUCAAGCUACAUCCAUAUGUAAGAAAGUUACAAUUAAUCCAGUACUAAUAAUUUUGUACGUACGUAUAUGCGCACUCACCCCUUCUAUAUACAUAUGAUUCAGGAGCAUCUUUUACUAGCAUUUUGUUUCAUUGCCCCAUACAAAAUGUAUGCAAGUGAUGUCUAUUGUUUUUUCCUUUGUCUAAAUAUACUACAGAAGCAUGUCUUGAAUAAAAGCUGGUUGGCGUCGUUGCAAUUGCCAAAUGUGUGUGGACGUAUUUUUCAUCUUCCACAUGUUCUGUGUCGAGAGCAAUGAGAAAGCUAGGUAGGGAGAACAACAAGUCUUCUGCAAGGUGAAAAUUGAGAAGGAAAUAUUUGGCUUGGAUGACAGGGUUCAUCGGCCGGAAACCAUAUGUUUGAUUUUGCUCGAUAACUACUUAGCAACAAUAUGGCAUCACUUUGAUUGAUAUCUUGGUGCAUCUUUUAUUGUUCAGUAGGCUCCACUUAUUGAUUAAACAUUGUCCACCCGAUCUUUUGUGACUCACUCCGUAGCGUAGCACGGGCAUCUUGCUAGUUAGUACAUAUAUGCCUUGAUCAGGCUUUUCUUCCUUUGUGUGUUACAACGAACCGUGCCAACAUUUGUGAAUUGUGAAAAGCAUAUAUAGCUGUGCUAUAGAUUGAAAAGCUAAGUAAACAAAAACAAUCAAACUUCUUUAGGCAAUAAGAAAUCCAAUUAGUAAACAACAAAGGAAUACAAUUCCAUAGUUCCACGAAUAACCAUUGCAGAGGUUUGAUUGUUUAGGCAAGCUGCUUACUUCUCUCCGCCAUUCGUCCGAGUAGAUCAGUUCAGUCUGUUUGUUUAUUAUUAAGUACUUGAUGUAGCUAGCUUUAAGGUUUCCAUCUGUUCUUCAUUCUAGGCUAACAACUAAUUUAUGCUUUUUUUAUAUAGGCUAUAAUUUCCAAUAUUUAUGUUUGCUAUAUAUUUAUUUUUUUCCUGAACAUAUAGCCAGACGUUAGGAGUGAAGGGCUCCAAGGUGGCACAAUGGUUUACAAGAAAACAUCCAAAUGGAGAAGAGCAAAAAUCGCUAAGGCUGUGUAUCUUUCUCACCUGCUCUUUCAAACAUAAUAAUUCUUUGUAUUAUUCCCCUUUUUAUUUGUUAAAGCACAAUUAAUUAUCGGCGAGAAUGUAGGGGCAACGGAACAUUUCAUGUCUGACAUGCUAUUUUGGUUUGAACAUAGCUAUAUUAAGUAAGUUACUCUGACCACAUCGAUACCGAUGUUGUAUGUAUCAAAAGUCAUCCUUCUACGUGGAUUAAUAAAGAAGGAUGAGAUGGUCACAACUAACACUUUAGCAACAUACUAAAUUCUACACAUUGCCAUUGCAGAGGUUUGAUUGUUUAGGCAAGCUGCUUACUUCUCUCCGCCAUUCAUCCGAGUAGAUCAGUUCAGUCUGUUUGUUUAUUAUUAAGUACUUGAUGUAGCUAGCUUUAAGGUUUCCAUCUGUUCUUCAUUCUAGGCUAACAACUAAUUUAUGCUUUUUUUAUAUAGGCUAUAAUUUCCAAUAUUUAUGUUUGCUAUAUAUUUGUUUUUUUCCUGAACAUAUAGCCAGACGUUAGGAGUGAAGGGCUCCAAGGUGGCACAAUGGUUUACAAGAAAACAUCCAAAUGGAGAAGAGCAAAAAUCGCUAAGGCUGUGUAUCUUUCUCACCUGCUCUUUCAAACAUAAUAAUUCUUUAUAUUAUUCCCCUUUUUAUUUGUUAAAGCACAAUUAAUUAUCGGCGAGAAUGUAGGGGCAACGGAACAUUUCAUGUCUGACAUGCUAUUUUGGUUUGAACAUAGCUAUAUUAAGUAAGUUACUCUGACCACAUCGAUACCGAUGUUGUAUGUAUCAAAAGUCAUCCUUCUACGUGGAUUAAUAAAGAAGGAUGAGAUGGUCACAACUAACACUUUAGCAACAUACUAAAUUCUACACAUUGCAUAGUAGUAGAAUUUUCACUACGAAAAGAAACCCUGAAUUAGUUUUCAAAAUUAUAAGUCAUGGCUUUCAAAGUUUUAAUAUGAUUGUUGUUGCUAUCUGCCAUGUCGCAAACGUCGGCCGAUGCACACCAUGUUGCGUGCUGUUCUGCGGUUUCUGAGAGAGGCAGUGGAUAUGUGCUUCUCAAUCAAGGAGCUUUUGUCAAACCGGAUUUGCUUCAGAUCACGGAAGCUUGGGUUGAUGGAGUGCUUGUCUUUAGCUUUUGU